rnacentral:ncRNA from 1 species
UAACCUCUAGCGAAAAUCGUGAAUGUUG